rnacentral:rRNA from 1 species
GACGGGGGGGGCAAGUGUUCUUCGGAAUGACUGGGCGUAAAGGGCUCGUAGGCGGUUUGUCGCGUCGGGAGUGAAAUCCACUGGCUUAACUGGUGGCUUGCUUUCGAUACGGGCAGACUGGGAGGUAUGCAGGGGAGAACGGAAUUCCUGGUGUAGCAGUGAAAUGCGUAGAUAUCAAGAGGAACACCAGUGGCGAAGGCGAGUCCCUGGACAAUACCUGACACUGAGGCACGAAAGCCAAGGGAGCAAACAGG